AGGUGUUGGUUGGCUCCCAAAAAAAAAAAAUUUCCCCCUCGAGCUGGUGAAAGGCCAACAAUGCCCACACGUCUCUCAUGCAUCCCCCAAUGCAUGUGAGCGUGUGGGCAUGUCGCAAUGAGGUCCCUUUCGAGUUUACAACACCCAACAAACCACGUGGGGGCGUGGGAAUGGCUCUCGAUCACCCUAUUGGCACGGGCGACGGAUGGGCGACGGCUGGGCGAUGGCUGAGCGAUGUUGGGCGUUCUCUGGGCGAUACAUGGGCCGGUGAUUUGACGUAUCGCCAUAAGAGAAAUCCUUGCCAUCACCCAUGGCACGUCACGAGAUGGCGUUGGAAAUAGGGGGAUGUGUUGGUUGAUGGCUUCCUGAACAAAAAAAAAAUCCCCCACGAGCUGGUGAAAGGCCGCAAAGACCCACACGUCUCCCAUGCAUCUAACAAUGCAUGAGAGCGUGUGGGCAUGUCCCGAUGAGGACCCUUCGAGUUCACAACACCACGUGGGGGCGGAGGGAAUGGCUCUCGAUCUCCCUAUUGGCAUGGGCGAUCCUGGGCGACGUAUGGGCGAUGGAUGAGUGAUGUUGGGCGCUCUUUGGGCGAUACAUGGGCCAGUGAUUCGGCGUAUCGCCAUAAGAGAAUUCCUUGCCAUCGUCCAUGGCACGUCACGAGAUGGUGUUGGAAAUAGUUGGCUGGUGGAAAAAAAAACCAUUGGAUGGAUCGUCGUGAGAACGGGUUGGUUGGAUGGUUGGGCGCAUGGGCGCAGCUUGGGAGAUCCCCGGGCAAUCGAUGGGCAUUGGAUGGUUGGCGGACAUCUUGUGAACGUUUGUGAUCACCAUGUGGAGCAUUGCUCGGGCAGGUGCUGAGCAACCCCAAAUAUGUGAGCUGGGUACUUUUUGUGGACGGUUGUCAAUCCUCAUGCUUGGUAGCUAUGAAAUGAAGGGGGUUCACCACGCCUCUCCCUCGGAUAACCUUCCGGGCCCAUACCACACGUUCAUUUGACCUGUUUAAGCCGCUUCAUGUGCGAAAAAAAACAUGGUCUUCUCAACGAGUGGCUUAGGCUUGGGGGUGUGAGGGGGGAGGAGUGUGGUGCUGCCCACGAUGCAUCAACUUGCCCCGAUACUAUUAGACGAUCUUGUUCGUCUCCCAUGCAACAUCUUAGUCCGUAUAUCGCUCAUCCUAAUUACAUUCGUUUGUAACGCUACGGCGCAGGUGGCCAAAGCGGGCGAUGGAAUAAGGUGUUGCAUGGGGGCUUUAUUGGUCUCCCAUGCACCAUCUUAGGCCUUUUGAUCGCUCAAUCCGGUUACAUUCAUUUGUAAUGCUGCGGUGCUGGUGGCCAAAGCGAGCGGUGGAAUAAGGUGUUGCAUGGGGGAAAUAUAGGGCUCCCAUGCAACAUCUUAGGCCGUGAUCGCUCAAUCCGGUUACAUUCGUGUGUAACGCUGCGGUGCUGGUGGCCAAAGCGGGCGAUGGAAUAAGGUGUUGCAUGGGGGAUCAUGCGUACGUCUGCUCCCAUGCACCAUCUUAGGCCUUGAUCGCUCAAUCCGGUUACAUUCGUUUGUAACGCUGCGGCGCUGGUGGCCAAAGCGGGCGAUGGAAUAAGGUGUUGCAUUGGGGAACAUCAUGGGCUGUUACUUUGAUGCUUGGGGGGGUUCACUAUGCCCCUCCCCAGGAUAACCUUCCCGGCCCAUUCCACACGGCCAUUUGACUUGUUUGACCCGCUUCAUGCGCAAAAAACAUGGUCAUCUCAACGAGUGGUUUAGGAUAGGGGGUGUGAGGGGGGAGGAGUGUGUUGCUGCCCACUAUGCAUCAACUUGCCCCGAUGCUAUCAGACGACGUGUUAGUCUCCCAUGCAGCAUCUUAGUCCGUAUAUCGCUCAAUCCGGUUACAUUCGUUUGUAACGCUGCGGCGCUGGUGGCCAAAGCGGGGCGAUGGAAUGAGGUGUUGCAUGGGGGUACUCCAGGUCUCCCAUGCAACAUCUUAGUCCGUACAUCGCUCAAUCCGGUUACAUUCGUUUGUAACGCUGCGGCGCUGGUGGCCAAAGCGGGCGAUGGAAUAGGUUGUUGCAUGGGGGUACGCAUGGUCUCCCAUGCAACAUCUUAGUCUGUAUAUCGCUUAUCCUGGUUACAUUCGUUUGUAACGCUGCGGCGCUGGUGGCCAAAGCGGGCGAUGGAAUAAGGUGUUGCAUGGUGGAUCAUGCGUACGUCUGCUCUCAUGCACCAUCUUAGGCCUUGAUCGCUCAAUCCGGUUACAUUUGUUUGUAACGCUGCGGCGCUGGUGGCCAAAGCGGGCGAUGGAAUAAGGUGUUGCAUGGGGAAAGAUCAUGGGGUGUUACUUUGAUGAGGGGACCUUCAGGGCAUUGCUACUAGAUUGCGUGUUGGGGAGACUCCCGUGCCCAAUAACCAGUUUGCACCCAUCCGGCUCCACGUAGUGCAAUGACAAAAUGUUCAGGAGAUGCCCCGAUACUGUUCUGAAGCUUUUCAUGUUGGUUCGAAACUUGCCCCGACAGUGUGUCCCGACCGUUACAGCCAGAUUUCGCGCACAGCGAGUGUUUCGAACGGUGCUUCGUUCUACCAUACGUAUUGCCCUUUGCGGGGUAAUGCACACAUAUGGGUGAGCAGGCAUUGUUCCCAACGCAACGUGUUGGCGUGUGAGUGGUAGUAGAGACAUCCCUGCUUUUGGGCUCCGUGCUUCGCGCAUCGAACCAUAAGCACAUGUUUCCCUCAUUGGCGUCCGGCGUACUUGAUUGUAUGUCGGCAAGUAAAAUGGUUCCUGUGCUCCCUACCCGAAGAAAGUGGAAAAGAUCAUUGCUAACGAGAUUUAUUGCCUUUGGUCGGCCAAAAGCUGGCCGAGGGCAACAUGUUAGUGUGGCUUGUGAAACCAACCGCGGCGUUUGCCCGCGUGUCUGGCUAGCGAGCUUGCACGUGCUUGGGGAUAUGGAAAACAUAGAUGGGUCAGGGUUCUGAACUCGACCGACGCAAUCGUAGCUAACGAGUGACCGCCGGACCGCAAUGGUAAGUCCCACUCCCUGCGUGACCAGGUGUAGUUGGGCGCGGCGCGGACAACCGGCGACAUGAAGGAAUGC
rnacentral:misc_RNA from 1 species